rnacentral:rRNA from 1 species
CCCUUAGAUGUUCUGGGCUGCACGCGCGCUACACUGAUGCGUUCAACAAGUGUUAACCUUGCCCGAUAGGGUUGGGUAAUCUUUUGAAAGCGCAUCGUGAUGGGGAUCGAUGACUGCAAUUGUUCAUCUUCAACGAGGAAUUCCUAGUAAGCGCAAGUCAACAGCUUGCGUUGAUUACGUCCCUGCCCUUUGUACACACCGCCCGUCGCUACUACUGAUUGGAUGUUUAAGCGAGGUUCUCGAACUGCUAGCGACUUAGCUUCGGUGAGGUCGCAGUGUGGGAAGUGAACCUAGCUUUGGUGUCUAGAGGAAGUAAAAGUCGUAACA